rnacentral:rRNA from 1 species
UUCUUCAAAACAAAACCUCUCAGCAAACUAUGAAUAAAAAGGAAUUUAAGCUAAGCAGGGUCGGGCCUGGUUAGUACUUGGAUGGGAGACCACCUAGGAAGACCAAGUGCUGUAGGCG